rnacentral:lncRNA from 1 species
AACUUCAGUGUCAGUAAAUAAGUGGAGUAGGCCCCAGAGUUAUAUGAACACAUUGCCUAUGAAGAAUAGAUGCCCGAUGUCUCUAUUGUUCUUUCUUUUGUACACGUUUAUGGGAUGCUCUAGAAUGCAGUGACUUAUGAGGACGUGCAUGUGAACUUCACUCGAGAGGAGUGGGCUCUGCUGGAUCCUUCUCAGAAGAAGCUCUACAAAGAUGUGAUGCUGGAGACCUACAGGAACCUCAACGCUAUAGGAUUUAAUUGGGACGAGAAACAUAUUCAAGAACAUUGUCCAAGUUCUAGAAGACACAGAAGUUUUAAGAUGAUCAUCCUGAGGGCUGGCAAUAUGACUCAGUGGGUAAGAGCACUGACUGCUCUUAUGAAGGUCCUGAGUUCAAAUCCCAGCAACAUGGUGGCUCACAACCACCCGAAGUGAGAUCUAACACCCUCUUCUGGUGUGUCUAAAGUCAGCUACAGUGUACUUAGAUAUAAUAAUAAAUAAAU